GAGCCGUCGCCCCAAGCCUCCGCUCCGCCGCCGACGCCAAAGCAACCGCCUGACACGCAGAACAACCCCAAACCGCCGCCCUCUGACAAUAAAGAGGACAAGCCUUCCAACGACCAGCCUCAGAAGUCCGAUUCCAAAACGGAAAACAAAGCAAACAAAACGGACAAGUCUCAAGAAAACUCAAAGAACAACCAGCGCCGGACGCAAAACUACAGGAAAGUCAACGGGUUCUACCAAAAGAACCAGAGGUACGACAAUAGGUUCAUGCAUAAUAGGCACCCGUACCACUAUUUAGCUACGGGACCUAUCAACUAAGAUGCUGAUUGAUUUGGAGAUGAAAACCUUAUUAUAGAACCUGUAGGCUUAGGAUGCGCGCCGCGAUAAGCGCUUAUCACGCCAUUUUAUCGACUUUGUCCAUACAUUUUGGCGUCGAUAAAGUAUGUCACGACGCGCAUCUUAGCCCAGCUGGUAAGUACAUAACUCAUCCAACUCACAAAUAGAUGGCGCUAGACUCAUUAAAGCUUUGUCAAAGUGUCAUAGACAAUCGUUUAUUGUCUAUGCCUCACAUAUAAAUGCUCUAUGGUGCGCACGAACUGGGACUGUUCUAAUUGAACAUCUAUUUGUAAUUAUACUUAAGCUUUUGUCUUGCCUUGUUUUCUGUUAGUUACGAUAUAAAUAUUAUAUCACACUAAAAAUUUUGUUUUGAUUAACAGUUCUAUUGAGGUUUUCAUCCCAAAUAAUAUUGGUGGUUAGAAAAUUGGCAACGUCGAAAAAAUUUGUACGCAUUUCAAUUGCAGGCUUUUAAACGAUACAAACAUAUUUAUAUACAAAUACUAUACUCAGUGUUAUCGACUUCGCUUGAGCACUUAAUUUUAACAUAGUCGAAGAGCUAUAAUUGCCAAUUUUCUUAUAAAUGUAUACCGUAAUAUGUAUUUUAUGUCGUUUUAAUAAUGUUCAGAUUGGAACAGCAAAACGGCUGUACGAAUUUUGAGACGUCAUUUAGCCUUCUGCAUUUCAGUCGUAAUCCUGUGUAGUACGAAUAUACCAUAUUAUAACUAGUUAACUAAAUUUUAUAACUAUAGUUUGGUGGCUUUAACUGUUCGAUUUCCAUAGCAACGUUAGGGGUUGGGAAUGUAUUUUAAAAAGUAUUUAAAUGUUUCAUAAAAUGUGCAAAUUCAUAUCAAUGUUAAACUAUUCUGUAUGAUGAUAUGAAUGCAUAUCACCAGAUGGUCAUUCCUGUGCUAUACUUGUUGUCUGGUUUAGAUAAUUAUAUGUCUAUCGAUUGUUGAAGGACAGAAGUUGUAUUGUAAAUACACAAGUCCGCAUAGAUUAGGCCAAAAAUGUAAACAAAUUGUUGACAUUUUAAUUCUAUGUCUCUGUUCAAAGUCUUGUCAUUUUCAUCUUCUUUGGACAAAAUAAGGAUGAAGUCGAAUUGUCGCUUAUAAAGUCAGCCAUAACUGUAAACAUUUUUGACCUUCUCUAAAUGGCUAGACUUUACACUUCUGCACUCUACGUUGCCAACACAGAGACCUAUGGUAGAUAAUAAAAUGGGGUCGUUGCAAUCCUUUAUAAAAUAUCAUAUCAUCAAAAAAAAAUUUAAUAAAUUUACGUACUACACUUUUUAAAAUAUAACAACUUUGCAUUUAAAUAACUCAUCUGAUUAUAAAAAGUGUAUGCGUAAAAAGACUUACAGGUAAACAGAGGACAAACAGGACCACAUUAUUAAUAUAUAAAAAAGUAUAUAACGUUAAUCUGAAUAGAUGUUCUAGGUUAGUACAUGCCCUGCGUAAUUUAUUAAUCGUGCUUGCUGGGUUGUAUGUUAUAAAGUAUUACCUAUCUUCACGGAUGUUGGAGAUCAGAUGGCUAGUUUACGUCUAGUACUUGCCAAAUUGGUUCGUAUGGUGUGAGCGAAAUAGUAGGCAUAUUUCGUCCCUUUAGUAAGAUUAAGAUUGUUCAUGUUGACACACGAUGCUUUGUUUGUCAUAGUCAAAAUUUAAUGUUUACAUUUUAUAAUGUUCACUGUAGCCUAAGUGCAAGCAAACACUUAAAACUCCAAAUUCAAAUUUUCAAAUUCGAAUUCAAAUUCAAAAUUAUUUAUUAUCCAAAAUCAAAAUGCUUCCAUCUGUGGUAAUGUUUAAAAUUUUCCAUGCUUGGAACCUAAAGUUCUCGCUAUUGUUGUUUGUUUACACUCAUGGCUGAAGUGAGGUAGCACUUAAAACCCGUUGUUAAAUCGUUUGUCGUCAUGAACCACGUCUCGAAUUAUAGUAAAUGGAAUAUUGGUGGCACUGGAUGUAUAUUUAAAGUUGUAUUUCGCGUGAGGUGUGAUAUUCGUCGGUAGUAAACUGCUAGAAUGUUAGUUUGAAAGACUGUGUGGCCUGUGUUAGGCUUUUUACUACGCGUGCCUGUUCAAGUAUAAAUACAGCGUCUAGUCAUUGCAAUCCAAUAGCAAAACACUUACUGGGAUACGACCAGGAAAGUACACGUAAAUUCUUCUAAAGAGAUUCAGGGUUAGCUUCAGAUUUGUAGUUACAAAAUAAAUCAUAGUUAUCGGUUAGUUCUGCUUUCAUAGACAUACAGGCAGAUUUAAAGUAAUCAAGAAUUUAUCUAGACAUUGUCCCACUCAGAGCUUAAGUAGUAAAAAUACAAAUAAUCUUUAAAUAUAGAUAAAUUACAGUAAAGAGACAAUUUAGAAUUCUUUUAUAAACAUUACAAAACUGAUGAUGCCCAUAAUUUACUUUGGAAGAGAUCGAUGCUCGUACUUGGUUGAUAUCUGAAAUAAGUGAUAAUAAAAUCGACUGAUCAUAACCAAAAUAUUACUUUAUUAUGUAUUUCGCUCACACCAACCUCUAUAAAAUGUGAUGUUUCUACGACUAGUUGACACUAUUUUAAUAUAUCACGUUUCGUGCAAAUAAUAACAAAUAUAUAAAAUGAAGUUAUGAACUACUAGCGUAUAAGUGUACCAUUUUUUUAUUUAUUCAACGUGAAUAUUGUUUCAAUGAAUUUGUAUAGUUAUAGUUAGUGCGAUAAGCGAAGGUUAGUGGGAGAUUGAUUUACGGAAUUGAUAAUAACGAAUGGUAUAUAGUGUGAAUCGCUUCGUUAGAUGGUUCGGCUAGUUUUCGUCAAUUCUUAAUUUUAACGUUACUGUAGCGAUUUGAACCGUAUUACCGUAACCCUGCGGUGUAUGGUUUCUAAGGCGCACUGGUGUUAUUUAGUAAAAUUUAUGGCCAAAUGUAGGAAAUUUAAAGUGCAUGUCAGUUCCUCACAACAAAUAGAUUAGUUUAUUUUUUUUAGUCACAUUUUCUCGUAUAUUGGAAGUGCUCAUAUUGCUAUUGUUAGUACACGUAGCAUGGUGUUUCAACAGUGACCCCAAAGUUCAUUGUAUCCUUAUACAGCUUAUAGUAAUAUUAAGCUUUUAAUAACGCUUUAAUUGUUUAUAAAAGGUCUUAUAUCCUCCAUACGGUGCACAAAUUCAGUUUUUGCCUUUGGCAACACAAAACCAAAACAUACGUAGUGUUAACAGUAUCUUCCAUCUUAAGUUCAGUUAGGUUAAGGGAAAAAUGUUUAAUUUUUUUUGUGAUUAAUUUUAUUAACACGGUUCUGUGUAUAUUAUGAAUAUACUUAUAUUUACAACGUUCACUUAAUGACAAAUGUCUAAUGACUAAAAUGAAAUGAAAUAUUUUUAGUAUUUGAUGUAGUGCCUUUUCUAUAAAGAUGUGCAUGCAUUUUAUAUGACUCCGUACAACGCGUACAAAAUUUAAAGAGUUGUUGUUAAAAAGAAGUUGAUUUAUUUUGUAGAUUUUAGUUUGCCGAUAUUAUGAUUUUUACCUUAUCACUUGUGAUGCAUUUUCCUGUGAAAUAUUUUUACAUUUUUUUAAUGAAAUGAUUGGAAAGAUUGCAGUAUUGUAUCGAUGGGGUUGGUGACGUUGAUUACUCUAAAUUUUACAUAAUAAUUAUCAAGUCUAUAGAACUGGCCAUAAAUGUAAACAUUUUGUAAACUUAUCUGACAUAUCGAUGACUCAUUCAUUAAUAACUGAUUUCUUCUCUUUUACACUUAAGAUUAGAAAGAGAAAGUUCUUUAAGUUUUAUGUCAAAUGUUUACACUUAUGGCCAGUUUACAAAAAUAGACUUCAUCUCAAACGUAAUAAAGUUUAAAAUGUUAUUAGAUCUGACAACCGCCCCAACAUGAAUGCUUCCAUUUUGUUAUUCAAUGGUUAUUAGUACAAUCGAUUUGCACUUAUAAUACGAAUUUAGAGUGUAGUCAAAGUUAUUCGUCUUGUUCUUACAAAUGUAUUUGUAGCACAAUAAUGAAGUUUAGUUUCUUAGCAAAUUUUAGUAGUUAGAUAAUAAUUAUUAUAUUAUUUUUGAAACCUGUUGCUCGGUAUAACGAUGGGUACAGAAAUUUUGAUGUUGAUAAGCAAAUAUUAAGUUUUGGUCUGUUCCGAAUCGAUUUAUUAAAAACAACUUUUAUAGGUACAUUUUUAACAGCUGACGGAGGAUUUUAAACAUCGCUAGUUAUUGCGGUAUUUUUCAAAACGUUUUUAUCACCUAAGUCAGCCAUUGCAAUAGCUUGUGCAAUAUAAGGUAUUUUAAAAAGUUUUUACUAAAUUCGAAUUGAAACAGACUAUGUUUAGAUGUUUCCAUUUACUGCGGAAAUAUAACAAUUUUGCUGGAAUAAAUGCGGACUCCUAAAUUUAAUUAUCUUGAGGUUAUAGGGUAAUUUGACACUUAAAUCUGUCCAUUUUCUAAUAGUUUCCUUAAAUUUAAACUUAAAUAUUUUUAAUCCGGGUGUUGGUCAAACUAAAAUCAAAAUUACUAAAACGGGAUACAUGAACACAUAUCUGUGUUACAGUACGACAUAAUAUAAAAUAUCGGAUUCCUCAGGCAUCUUAGCUAGUUUUAAUAUGUAUUAUAACGACAUAAGAUGCAAUAAUAAGUGCACGUGCACGGAUCCGGCGUGAUCCGAUCUUCCGGAUAUCCGGAAGCCAUUUUAUCCUGUGUCGUACUGUAUCUAUUAAAACACCGGAGUUCCUCUUUCCAGUAUUAAUUAACUCUUGUUAAACCUUCCCUAUUUCUAAAGUUGCCAUACAAUUAAGUAACUGUUUACCUCAAUUUUCUGACUUGCUUGAAAUUUAUUAUAUUAUUUUCGCGCAAAUGUAUUUAGAUCAAUCUACCAACCGUUUUGGAAGUUAACAAAUUUUAAUACGGACCCGAACGCGUUAAAACGGAUCUGUUGAUAGAUUAUAUGAAAUGUUUAAACUAAAUAUUUAUAAUGCUAUUUUGAAAUGCGAUGUGGUCAAAUAGAUAGUUAUAGUGUAAAUUUUAAUAUGCAUGUGCAAUAUAAAUACCUUAAAAGUCUGGCAAGUGAAGCAUUAAAUAUGACAAUAGUAAUAAAAUUGACUAAUAACUCAAUAUCAGUGGCUCAGAUUUCAUUCGCCAAACUGAACGGUUAUUUUAAAGCAUUUUGCAAUGUACUAGUAUAAAUAGGCUGUUAAAAUUUUUAGAUAUCACACAACGAACGUAGUCCGUCAAAAUAAGUAUUUUUGUAGUUCAAUUGCAAUCAACAUUUAUUUCAAAAUAAGUCCUUUCACAUCUACUAACAAAAUACUGAUUGUAUUUAUACGUUUAGAAGUAAAUCCAGAUGCCUACAGUGCUAAAUUGAUAUUAUGGUUAAAUUUUUGCAGUAACAGUAUUCUGGGUAUUUUAGAUGUAGUGCAAACAAUAUUAUCUGUCCUUCUCAUAAGCAAAGCUGUACUAUUUUGUCAGUAAAAAAAAUAUUGUGAAAACAUGGCUACAUGUCAGUAGGUGUGAACAGAACUUUAAAUUAAUUAAGUAUAUCGCAUUUCAGAAUUAGUUGGCGGCUUAUGUUAAUUGUUAUUUUAUUUUAUUAGUUUUGAAUUGACAGAUGAAUUUAUUUACUUAUUUUAUUAUAUACGGAGUAUAGACCAUUAUAGAAAUCAAAUGCAAUGGCUAUGAAUUAAAUGUGCUUGCUUUUAGAUAACCUCAAAAUUAGGGUAUGCUAUUAAUAAGAAUAGCGAAUGUAUUCGGUAUUGCCACAACUAGCUUCUUUUAAAUUAGAUCCGAUAGGAUGGGUCGUUGCUUCUGACUUAUAAACGAAAAAUGUAUAAAAGGCAAAAUGUAAAACUGCCUUAUAAAUUUAUAUCGCCUAAAUCGUAAAGAGCAGUAAGUGAACUUACGACUCUAUACGUUGGAGUGUUAACAGACAAAUAGGAUAUAUUUUUACUAAAAAAAUAAAAUUACCAAGUAAUGAGCGACCAUAAUAAAAUACAAUAGUUAUAACAAAUAAGUACUGUUUUAUAAUUUAUUUAGAACCGUUAAAUUUUUGUAUGGCCUACGACAAACAAGGAUAUACGUGAGUAUAUCAGCUUUAAUGUUUGAUGGCUGUGAAUUACGGGGGUAAAGUAGAGUUAGCAAGAAGCAGCGAUCCAGCCUCAAAAGUUGGCUGACAAGCGCCCUUUGAGUUGGCUCAAAUAUCGUACCUUCCGUCCAGAAAUUGGAAUUUUUCACAUAGUAUAAGCUUCCCAUUUUCGCAUUUGUUUAUUCCAAACUUUCCAUAACCUGUACUGCUAUCAAUCUUACUUUAAUGUACGCGAUACAGGCUCUUAAAACCCUAUAAUUAAAUCAAUAUGCUAUAUUAAAUAUUUAAGUUUACUUUAGUUUUCUUCUAAGAAAAAAAUACAUAUGCAAAUAUGAUUAUUAUUUCUGACUUUCUACGUGACCAACGCUUAUAACAGCAUAUCUUUAUAAGAAUACUGUGUGAUAUAACCUAAUUAUAAUUAAUGAAAUGUCCUUUAGUCCUUAAUAUGAAAAAAACUAUAAUACCAAAACUAUCCAGUACUUAAUUUAAAGCCAAUAUAGUAAACGCUUACGAUGGGGUAUACUUUUAAGUGUAAGUGAAUGAUUCUAAAAUUUCCUAUAGUUAAACAGUAAAUACGUCCUUUUGACUUCUAUAAGCCAUCCAGUUCGCUCUCCAAACCCAUUGUCGGUUGAAAUAAAAGUCACGGUGCUAGAGAAUUAAAAAGAGUUGUAUAAAAAUAAAAUAAAAAGCCACGAUACUAAAAUAGAUUUGGAAAGCGAACUAUGACUUCGCUAUUCAGACUUGCAUUGAGGUAUCUACAGAAUAUAAUUUUUUACCUACACUCAAAUACUGAAAGUUUCGUGCCAAAGUCUGGGUAGCGUAAAGUCUAAUCGGCUUAGGCUCAAAUUCUGUAACGACACUCAAAGUUCCAUUCAUAAAGUCUGUGAUUGGUUAAAUUGCAAUAUUUUAGACCAAUCCUAUUCCUGAGUGUGGAAUCAUACUAGAGUGUCGUUACAAAACACGCCCUAAAGAAUCAUUGCAUCAACAUAAUUUAACCUAAGAAACGUUAUGAACGCUAGAGUAUGUAGUUAGAAAAUGUGCAUGAUUAAUAUCAUAUAGCGAUUGUUAAUUAUUAUGUUUUGUUUAUUGAUUAGUCGAUGUUCUAGAUAUUUGAGAUGGUAGUGAAUAAUACACAUUUAACAAUAUUUUCAUAUGUGGAGCCAGUGGGCCCUAUGUUAUUUUAACCCUCGUUAAGGGCCUAAAUAUACAGCAUUAGUGUCUAAAUCCGAUAUUUAUCAAUGUUUUUGCUCCUUAAAUCCUGAAUGUACAAAAUAUAGACACACUGUGCUAGUGUAUUCAGCUAGUUUUUUUUAGGAAUUGUUAGGCGUGGUCGUGACCACUAGGAAGACUGGAAAAAUAUUCUCAUUAUUUAAAGUCAUUGACGAGAAAAGUGAUGUUGUGUAGAAGUGGGGUUUAAUUUAUUUAUUUACCAUUAUGUUUCUGAUACGUCGAUGGCACGUUGCAUCUCGUGGAAUAUUCUAAGAGUUAAUUUGUUGAAUGUGGAUCAAUCUUAGAGCUUUAUCGAAUUUGAUAAUAAUUUACGGAUGAAUAUUUAUAAAAAAAUGAAGUUGAAACGUGGUAGAUAUUCAUAACUCACUGUUUAGAUAGUUAUUCCUGCAAGAUUGUGUAUCGUAGUUGGUUUUUUAUCUAUUUUAAAUGAUGCUAGUUGUGUAGUUUGAUAUCGACGUGAGCCUUUGCCACUAGGUGAAGUUAGGUUAGAUAGAUACGGUCCUAAUGCUUUUAGUAGGUACGAAUCUAAUAGUUACAUGUUUUAACCGUGCAUGGUUUAUUGGAUCCUCGUUAGAACAAUAUGUGACUAUUUAGCAUAAUAUGCGUCAGUUUUUCAAAUAGGGAUACGGUGAUGGUUAGGUUUAUCGAUGUGGCUCAUAAAGUUGGAGCAGACUUGUAGAUUCGCAUCGUAUGCACAAAUACUCCGCUGUAUAACGUAUUUUAAUCACUGUUUUGAUAUGAGGUGUCGUACGGAGUUGUGGGAUGUUUUAUAUUAGUUGCAAAUGUUAGUAUUUAUAGUGGAAUGAGUGUGGACAAUAAGGGUGGUAAGUCCGGUAUGUGUAAUCUAUUGUGAUACGCCACGAGCCAGCCCUGUGCUAUGGUACUACCACCACAGUUUAUAAUCUAACUAUAUUAGGUUAUUAAGUUUAACAUUGCUUCUACGAGGUUUUGCCGUAACAUUAGGCAGGUUUUUUUCUAUUGGGUAUUUAGCGGAUUUGAUAUAUUUUGAGCCAUUAUUUAGUGUGCAAAGUCUACUAAUAUUUUUGCUACUCGCCCGUUCGCAGUUAUUAGCUCUGUCCAGUAUAUAGGAAUGGCAUCAUGAAUUUGAUACGUGAGGACCAAAUCUGGUUUUUGUAUUUUAUUGUGAGUCGAUAAAAAAUGGGAAUACAGGAUUUAUUUUGCCAGUUCCUCUUAAAUGUAAGUGAGAAUUUCUAAAAUAUUUUUAUAGUUGUAAGUGUUGGUAAAUUAAUUUUUACAUUAUGUACUGUGUAAGCUAGUGCACAAGUAUUAAAACUCGGGCUCACCGAUUGUGGGGAUAUUCUCUUUAAUUUUCAUUUUCCUGUUCAACUUGUUUGGGAAUUGAUCGCCAUUCGAAGGAUUUGUUAGGGCAUACGUAAUGUCGAAUAGUUAGUUUUAAUUGUGGUGCUAAACUACACUGUACGUCGACACCAAUAAUGUAUUUUGUAUGUUUAUCAUUUAAGUUGUAAGUGACAUUUAAGUGACAGUGUUAAUCCAGUUAAAAUAAUAUGUAUUUUUUAUCGGAAAAUGUAAUGGGAUAUGUAACAGGAUUGUUUUCUUAUUUAAAGUCAAAUAUUAAAUUAAAUCUCACUACAUUUAGUCCGAGUGUUUCUGUGACUCGUUGUUUUAAUACAAAUGUAUGUAAUUCAAUUGAUUAGAUUGUUGCACUUUUGCCAUAAUAAAUGGUACCAGUAUUCGGCCCGCCAAUAAUCGACAUAGGUAUUAUGAGGUAUAAUUGAUUAGCAAUGUGUAAUGUAAACAAAAAUGAUACUUAUCGCAAUGCAAGAGAUGCUUCUUUCUAUUUUUUAUACCUAGCAUUUUCAUGUCUAACCUACAGCGACACUGCCACUGUAAAAUGCCCAUUAAUUACGUACUUUUAAAGCUGCAUUCUGUUUUUUUAUCAUUGUUUCUUGUUAUGAUUAUUUUGUUGUUUUAGCAAAGCUUUGUAGGCGCAACAUUGUGUUAAUAUUAAAUAGAUCGAAAUGAAAAUUUGCUAGUCCUACUCCGUGUAUAACUUUGGAUCUGUCCGAUUAAAAAAAUACUUAGAUGUUUUAAGAUACUUAAAAAAAUAAUACAAAAUAUACUGUCUGUGGUGAAUAUCGAAUUUUAUGAGCUUAUUAAAACUUAAUUCCAUGGUAUUGGUAUUGCGAAAAUAUUAUAUCAUGGUGUGCUAAUUAUGUAUAUUUUUUGAUAGUGCACGUCUCAAUUUUCUAAUCUUGUAAAGUUUUUUACCAAUGCUGGGUUUUCCCGUGUUUCCUAAGGAUUAUUCGAGUUUAUAUUCAAACAGAUUUGAGGAAAUUUUAGCACCCUUCCGUUAUGUUACUCUUUUAUACGUUACUUCUUCAUAUUUUUUUACUUUAAAAAUCAUGAUUACAACGGUCGCAUUUACCUUUAAACUACAAAAUAAUUUCGAUAUUUACACAAGAAUAAUCUUCACUCUAUAAUAUUUGCUCACUUUAAUCACUACAUACAUAACAGAAGGGUACCUGUAAAUUUAACUGUAAAAGUUAAUGUUAUUCGCCCCAGUUAUAAAUUUUCUGCUCUGCUAAAAUCAAUACAAAACUAUUGAUACUUUUAUAAACUCAAGUGAAUUGUUACGGGCUGGUUAAUUCGUUCAAUUUGAAGUUUUAAACGAAUAUUGAAUUAGUAGAGCGGAAAUCAGAGAUGUGCAAUAUCGAAAAGCGGGUACUACUCUAAAAAUCCAAAAAAAGUUUGUUAAACGAAGCUAAAUAGUAUUUCAUAAGAUGCCAAGUUAGUUCUUGCAUUGGACCAAGGAAUAACGUAUUUUAUAAGUGUAGCUCAUUUCACUUGCUGAUUGGUACCUACGGCAUUUUACAUAGAUGGGAAAAGUAAAAAAAUAUAUGAUAAAAUUAAUAUUUUGACAUGUCUUCUGUCUCUUCAUGUUAGAUCCAUGUAUACAAGUAUCUUUGUGAUUAAUGUUUAUUAGAUAAUACACUGCGCGGUGACGUUAUCGUGACAGACUGAUUUUAGAGCAGGUAUAUUACUUUGGAUGGGAAUCACGUGGUCACCGUCGUGGUGCGUUCUGCUCCUUGCAGUAUUAUAGUGCGGGUAGUUGUGUGCGAACCGAGGCUGCCCACAGUUGCGACGUGUCAUUAUUCUCCGAGGUAAAACGCCGUAUGUGUACUUACGCCAUUGUACACUUACGUACAAACUUGCACAUAUUCGUGGCAACGAUUUUUUAGAAAAGUUCCUAUCUGAUACGAGUUUGACAUUGCGUCGUUACUGUGCGAAAUGCCUUAUUGAAUGCUUUACCGUUUUGAAGUGGCGAAAUAUGACCGGAAUUUGAUGAUAGUUUAUAGAUAUUUUGUGCAAUAUAAUAUUACAUAAUAUUUAUAUUCCAAAUACCUACUUAUUUAAUAUUUAUUAUGGUUAAUAUAUUUCAAAUUAUGACGCUCUUUUUUCACAAUCCGCGAAUAAUGCAUGAAGUACCUGUAGAUAAAAUAUUAUUUAUUACUUACAACUAUGGCCAGUGAACGUUACUUUCAAUUCAACAUCUGGUCAUAUUCCGUACUGUCAAUAUGUUACCUGAUAUAGAGAAAUAAUGGAGCAGUCAGCAGCACAUCAAUAUACCACAAAAAUACAUUUUUUUCUAAUGUAUUUUGGACUUUAAAGUUAAACACCAAAAUGGUUCAAAAUCAAUUGAGAAACGUAACAUUUUGUGGUAAAUUGACAUGCCGUUGUCUGUACACAGCACACAACUAUCCAACCUGAAUAUCGUAGAGAAAUAAAAUAUCCAUUUAGGAGUAUCGGUGUUAUGAAUCUAGUUCACAAUUUAUAUAAAACAUAGUGUACGCCGUCUGUUCAAAAUGUUGUGAAAUAUAAAUGUUAAAUGUUGUCCUACUAUCAAUCCGUUAGGCCCAGAACAGACGGUGAAACGCAACUGCAACGAAACUGCAACUUUGUGAUGAUUCUAAUGAAUAAAACUGAAACUUUUAAACUGGUCGCGUCAUGUGUGGUCUCUCAACGGACGCUAUGGCAGAAACUUAGAUGCAACUCAAAAGUAACUAGCAGUUGCAGUUUCGUUACAGUUGCGUUUCACCGUCUGUUCUGGGCCUUAGGGUUAUUGUUUAUCUGGAUAUUCAGUAGUUAAUGCUAGAUGCAGUCUUGAUUUUUUCUUACUAAUGUUUUGUUACUGUUUUGGCACUGUAUUAAUUACCUUCUGACAAAAAAUAUAUAAUGAAUAAAA